ACGCGUGCAGCAAAAGCUCAACCUAUAGAAGAUAAAAGGAUACGGCGGGAGGACACACUCUGUAGGGAGACGGCAGUUUGUAUGUUGCACUACGCAUGUUGCCUAUGAGAUAUCUACGUGGUGAGAUCCGGGUGUCCUCGCACUCGUGAAACAGAAUAGUCAGAAAAAUAGCAAUUGGUGAUGGGCCUAAUAAUGGUGACAGUGUGUGUAUAUAUAUAUAUGUAUGUGUGUAUAAUAACCGGCGGGGGCAUAGGUGGGAUAGAUAUACCGGAGAAAGGAGUCACAAGAUCUUGCAAUGUAAUUGAAUGUUCCAUGUGCACGAUUUAUAAUGCCAGG
rnacentral:sRNA from 1 species